rnacentral:rRNA from 1 species
GUGAGUAACGCGUGGGAACGUACCUUUCACUACGGAAUAGCUCUUGGAAACGAGUGGUAAUACCGUAUACGCCCUCCGGGGGAAAGAUUUAUCGGUGAAAGAUCGGCCCGCGUUAGAUUAGCUAGUUGGUAGGGUAAUGGCCUACCAAGGCGACGAUCUAUAGCUGGUCUGAGAGGAUGAUCAGCCACACUGGGACUGAGACACGGCCCAGACUCCUACGGGAGGCAGCAGUGGGGAAUCUUGCACAAUGGGCGAAAGCCUGAUGCAGCCAUGCCGCGUGAAUGAUGAAGGCCUUAGGGUUGUAAAAUUCUUUCGCUAGGGAUGAUAAUGACAGUACCUAGUAAAGAAGCCCCGGCUAACUUCGUGCCAGCAGCCGCGGUAAUACGAAGGGGGCUAGCGUUGUUCGGAAUUACUGGGCGUAAAGCGCACGUAGGCGGACUUUUAAGUCAGGUGUGAAAUCCCGGGGCUCAACCUCGGAACUGCAUUUGAAACUGGAAGUCUAGAGACCAGGAGAGGUUAGCGGAAUACCGAGUGUAGAGGUGAAAUUCGUAGAUAUUCGGUGGAACACCAGUGGCGAAGGCGGCUAACUGGACUGGUACUG